GUUGGAAUUUGUAUGAUGUAGAACUCGUCUGAAGACUUGUUUGCUGGAGAGGUUCGGUUGCACAAGAAAUCCGACUGAAGGUCGAUUGAUAGAAGAGUCUGGAAGGUGUUGUGGAAGUUCAUCCUCUGGAGGAUCUUGUGGAAGUCCGGUUGGCAUUGUUGGAGUCUAGUUGGCGUUGUUGAAGGUUGAUGGUUGGUCAUUGUAGAAAUCCAGCUGCUGCUAGAGCCCAUCCGUUGUAGAAGUUCGCCUGGAAUCUAUUCACUAUAGGAGUUCGGACGGAGUCCAUUUCUUAUAGAAGUCUGGAGGGAGACCGCUUGUUGUAG
rnacentral:lncRNA from 1 species